UACGUAGGGGCAAGCGUUGUCCGGAAUGAUUGGGCGUAAAGAGCGUGCAGGUGGUUGAUUAAGUCUGAUGUGAAAGCCCACGGCUUAACCGUGGAGGGUCAUUGGAAACUGGUCGACUUGAGUGCAGAAGAGGGAAGUGGAAUUCCAUGUGUAGCGGUGAAAUGCGUAGAGAUAUGGAGGAACACCAGUGGCGAAGGCGGCUUCCUGGUCUGUAACUGACACUGAGGCGCGAAAGCGUGGGGAGCAAACAGGAUUAGAUA
rnacentral:rRNA from 1 species